GUUUUGGAGUUGAGAAAUACAAGUUUCCUUUUGUUCACUUCCUUCUUUCUAUUAGUAUUGUCUUCCUUAAAAGCCUUAGCCAAUCUAAAUUAGUAAACUCCUCUUUCCUCCAACAUUUCCCAUGUCACAUCUUACUGUUGUUCAAAAUUUGUCAAAUUACCAAAUAGAGUAAAUGCUUCCAUUAUCCAUUUUGAUGCCGAUUCUUGUUUUAUACAGGACCUGUUCUGGAAGAAGACAAUUGGAGCGAGUAGAUUGCAUGGUGGCCUUUUCAUCUUCAGAUUCCCAUGUUGAUGCCCAGGUGUUUGCAAGUCAAUUUCUGGUGUAUGGCACCAGCAUUUAGGACAUCCUAUCAUAACCAUUUUAAAUUGUUUGCCAAAUAUAAUUUGGAUAUAAUCCUUGUGUUCGACAUGAUACAUGUGAGAUUUAUCCACUUGCCAAACAAACUCGCAUUCCUUUUCCCUCCAGUAAUAAAAAUUCCAUAGAAACAUUUGAUUUAAUCCAUUUUGAUAUUUGGGGUAAAUACAAUUCUGCUUCUCUGAUUGGUGCUCAUCGUUUUCUUACAAUUUUUGAUGAUUUUAUAAGAUGUAUUCGGCUUUUAUGCAAUGUAAG
rnacentral:lncRNA from 1 species